GACGAACGCUGGCGGCGUGCUUAACACAUGCAAGUCGAGCGGAAAGGCCCUUUCGGGGUACUCGAGCGGCGAACGGGUGAGUAACACGUGAGUAAUCUGCCCUUGGCUUUGGGAUAACCACCGGAAACGGUGGCUAAUACCGGAUAUGACGGGCUCCGGCAUCGGGGUUCGUGGAAAGUUUUUCGGCCAGGGAUGUGCUCGCGGCCUAUCAGCUUGUUGGUGGGGUAAUGGCCUACCAAGGCUUCGACGGGUAGCCGGCCUGAGAGGGUGACCGGCCACACUGGGACUGAGACACGGCCCAGACUCCUACGGGAGGCAGCAGUGGGGAAUAUUGGACAAUGGGCGGAAGCCUGAUCCAGCAACGCCGCGUUGAGGGAUGACGGCC
rnacentral:rRNA from 1 species